rnacentral:lncRNA from 1 species
GGGAGAAAUGGGAGCGAUCUGGAAGGGGUCUGCAAAACCCGGGUUGGAUUAGACAGAGAUGGGAGGAACGAAGGCANNNNNNNNNNNNNNNNNNNNNNNNNNNNNNNNNNNNNNNNNNNNNNNNNNNNNNNNNNNNNNNNNNNNNNNNNNNNNNNNNNNNNNNNNNNNNNNNNNNGUCUGCAAAACCCGGGUUGGAUUAGACAGAGAUGGGAGGAACGAAGGCAGCUGCGACAGGGCCAAAUGCACCCCGGGCACGCAAAUUUCGGGCCGGAUUCUUCCUCGGGAGACGGAGUAAUGCGUCAUGCCUAAUGCAGUGGAAACAAGCAAGACCUGGCCUAGAGUUUCCAGACCUGGGCUCGCAGGGGGCUCCGGGAGGGGGCUAUUUAGUGGCUGAGGCGGCGUGGGCUGCCCUCGUCUUCCUGGCAGCGACGUGCAAGAAGGAGGGGCAAGAGGAGGGCUGGACUCGGGCACGAAAGGAUCUGGAGCGCCGGCUGCACCGAAGCAGGCAGCUGGGCCUAGUCUUGCCUAAUGGUUUGAAAUUACACCCCCAUUUUACAGGUAAGAAAACUGACGCAAAGUUUAAGUCACUUGCCCUUAGUCACACAGCUGGUAAGUGACACUGUCAGAGAUAGUGUCUUGGCAACCUGACUCCAGGGACUCUGCUCUGAUUUCUAAACUGUCUCUCUGGGUGAGAUGCAGUCAUCCUGGGGACCAGGAAUGUAUGGAAAGUUCAUAAACCACAGUGGAUUCUGGGUGGGGUUGUUUCCUCCUAUCCUGUUCCCUCUGAUUGGGGAUUUUCAUUUCUUUCUCUCAUGAGCACUGGCUCUCCUGGAAGGUUUGGCUCUAUCAAAUCCUCUGGAGGAGACACAGGAGGCUGGGUAAAAGGACAGGGAGCUUUCUCCUCCCCAGUCCUCACUCAGAAAGUUUAAUUCAUUUGGCAUAAACUUGACCUUCUGGGGGCCCAAUCCUUCCAGUCCUAGCAGACCUCCACUUCCUUCCCCACCUCCUACACCUUCACUGUGGGAGCCCCAACCCUUCCUCCGCUGCUGCCUGUAUGAGCUGGUGAUCAAGUAUUACAGGGGAGAAAAUUUCCAAGGCCAGAGAGCAGAGCUCUGAGCUGAGGUUUUAGAAAUAUCCUUUCACCUCUUCACCCAGCCUGCUUCCCUUCCUCUUUCAGGGCCUGCGAGGUCCUCCUGAAGCCCCCAGAGAACCAGAACCAUGCCCCCACCUGCCCUCAGAGAUUCCCAGGGAUACCUACCGAGGCAGGGCUCAGGACACCUCUAUGCAAACCUCAGCAACUCCUGCCCUGACCAGUUAACUCAAUACUUACUCUACAUUAAAUACCAAUUGGGCCAAUUUUCUGCUGUAAUUAAAACCUCAGCAGAUGGGUUCCCUGCUCAUCAGUGAUGAGUUUAUUAAUGUCCAGCUCUGAAGGAAUGUGGGGCAGAGAGAAAAACAGAAAGGGGCUUGCUCUGGUACUGGGAGAGUAGAUGCUGGGAGAGGCUGAGUUUGAAACUGUUCCGUCUCCUUGGUUGGCUCCAGGCAGGGGGCAGGCAGCCAUGUUUACGAAAGUGUCUGCAUCUCUGGGUUUUCUGUUUCUACAGUGGAAACUCGGAAAUAUCUGCCCUGCCCCUCUUAUCUGUUGCAAACCUGGGCCUGCCGUAUAUAACUGAUCCUUUUUUGAAAAUCACAUCUUCUUGACUACUGACAAACAGUGUGUCUGGAACCUGUAAACACAGCCCCUUAUAGCUCAGCAAUCUGGGCUUAUUUGUUAUGUAGCAUAACCUAGGCUGUCCUGACUACUACAUAUUAUAACUCCACUUACAGACAGUGAAACUAAGGUCCAGUUUGCUUACUAAUAUAGGAGAGACCAAGCUAGUUCUUGCCAACGGAGCCUGGAGACAGACCUCUGAGUUGGAUAAGAGAAGCAGGCCAGGUUAGUCCUUAGCUCUGCUCAAGGUGAGUAGUUCACGACUGCUAGUGGGUUGGAAGCUCACUGCCUAGUACACUUGUGGCAGCUCAAGCAAUCAGCUCCUUCUGAUCAUCAGAGAGCAUCUGCACAGUGGAGCAUGAUUCAGCCCCAAGAAGUCACUCUACUUUUUUUUUUGUAAUUAGGAGAUUUUAU